rnacentral:misc_RNA from 1 species
AAAGUGCGAUAAGCAAUGCGAAUUGCAGAAUUCCGCGAAUCAUCAGAUCCUUGAACGCAACUGGCGCUAGGAGGCUCCCCUCCUAGCAUGUCUGUUUCAGUGUCUGAAAACAUCCAAACUCUAACUUAAUGUAGUUGACUACUAAUUUUUAAUUAGUUUGUCUCCUAUUAAAGAUGUACAUGUGGGUUUUUGGACCCCUCAUCAAAUUGGUCACUGCUUCUACAGUGAUUUUGAUAGGGCGUAAACAAUUACCAGUAUACAUGUAGAAAUUAAUCGGGUAGUAUAUGAUCUUUUAGAUCACUGCCCGCAACUUUCAACUCUGCAUCUGAAAUCAGGCAAGAUCACCCGCUGAACUUAAGC